rnacentral:rRNA from 1 species
ACCGCAAGGGGGGCGUUUACCACGGUAUGAUUCAUGACUGGGGUGAAGUCGUAACAAGGUAACCGUAGGGGAACCUGCGGUUGGAUCACCUCCUUACCAAAGA